rnacentral:lncRNA from 1 species
GUCUAUUUGGGGCAGUUUGAGGUUAAUACAGGGCAGUUUGGGGCUAUUUUGGGGCAGUUUGGGGCUAUUUUGGGGCUGUUUUGGGUCUAUUUGGGGCAGUUUGAGGCUAUUUUGGGGUUAUUUGGGGGAGUUUAGGGCUAUUUGGGGGCAGUUUGGGGUUCUUUGGGGUUCUUUGGGAGCAGCUGGGCACUGCUUUGGUUCAAUGUGGGUCUUUUGAGGUUAAUUUAAGGCUAUUUGGGGAUGGAUGUGGUGUUUUUUUGGCUAUUUUGGGGCCAUUUGGAAGCAGGUCGGAACGGAUCCACGGUGCUUUGGUACGGAUUAAGGUGGCUUCAACCUAUUUUGGGACGGCUUGUAGCGAAUUUGGGGCCAUUUUGGGGCGGCUUGUAGCGAAUUUGGGGGCAUUUAGGGGCCAUUUUAGUGCGGCGGAACAAAAUGGCGGCGACACCACAAGACGGCGGCCAUGUUGGGACCGCAGAACAAAAUGGCGGCGACACCACGUGACGGCGGCCAUCUUAGAGUCGCUAAACAAGAUGGCGGCGGCGAGGCGCCGUGUGCCGGGCUCCUCCGUUAGGCCUUAUUUCUAUAGCCGGGAGUUCGUUUUUAUAACGCUUUUUUCUUCAUUAUUUAAUAUUUUUUCUUCCGUUAUAACACAAAGAAACGCCUUGAAAUCCGAUAUGGAAAAGGUCCCCGGUGCCGCCCGUGUCGUCAGAGCAUUAAUUAACGUUAAUUGAGGACUAAUGAGAGAUGGGGCUUUGAGAUGAGGAAAAGGAGAGAAGUGAGGAGAAAAAUGUGAGCAUGGAGGAGCGGCAGGGAGAGCAAGCGAGAUUUGAGGUGAAAACGUGGCUUUUUUUGUCAGCUGAAUGGGGGCAGAAAGAGAAGGCUGAGCUUGAAAAUGGGAAGCUGUGGAGCGAAAGCUUUGGCUCUUAAGAGAAGAUGGAUGGAUGGAUGGAAGGAGGAGAAAUGGAGAGCGAAGAGGAAAGGGAGAAGUGAGCAAGAUGGAGGAAACAAAACUGGGUGGCAGUGCGGAAAUGGAAGGAGGUGCAGAGCGAGGUGAGCGACGGCUUCACGCCGACG